rnacentral:rRNA from 1 species
AGUGAACGCUGGCGGUAGGCCUAACACAUGCAAGUCGAACGGCAGCACAGUAAGAGCUUGCUCUUACGGGUGGCGAGUGGCGGGCGGGUGAGGAAUACAUCGGAAUCUACUUUUUCGUGGGGGAUAACGUAGGGAAACUUACGCUAAUACCGCAUACGACCUACGGGUGAAAGCAGGGGAUCUUCGGACCUUGCGCGAUUGAAUGAGCCGAUGUCGGAUUAGCUAGUUGGCGGGGUAAAGGCCCACCAAGGCAACGAUCCGUAGCUGGUCUGAGAGGAUGAUCGGCCACACUGGAACUGAGACACGGUCCAGACUCCUACGGGAGGCAGCAGUAGGGAAUAUUGGGCAAUGGGCGAAAGCCUGAUGCAGCAACACCGCGUGAGUGAUGAAGGCCUUCGGAUCGUAAAGCUCUGUUAUUAGGGAAGAAAAAAUGUAGAAGAAAACACGGAUGUUUUGACGGUACCUAAUGAAAAAGCAACGGCUAACUACGUG